CCCACGUACCAAAGAGAAUUACUAACCAGGUGACUAUGCUUUGAGUGAUUGCUCAUCCGGCACCCGUGUUUGCUCAUUUUUCUGGCUUUUUACCGGAUCUUAGCAUCCAUUAGUGUGAAAUUGAGGAAAAUACACUACCAGAUCCUAGCUUCCGGUAAUGUAUUUAGGGGCGAGUGCGCAAACACGGGGGGCAAAUGAGCAACCUUCUGAGCUUUGUAAUUCUCUUGAGGAGUGUGUGAUCUCCAUAUUACCUUUUUUCUAUCUAGUGAAAACUUGUUGCUUAUUGUGGUUGUAGCCCACACUAGAUUAAAAUGUUGUUGUGUUCUUGUGCUUUCUUAUUCUUCUUGUUUGAUUUGAUUUUCAGCAUCUUAAUUCAUUUCUGCAAUUGUGUUUCUCGGGUUAUUCUUUUGAAUUACAUAAUGGUAAGCUCUUUCAGGGCACCAAUCCAUGUACUCAUACUUCAGACAUUAAUCAAGCUAAAUUCCACUUGGGAAAAACUAUCAAAACAUAAAUAUAUGUAUAUAUUUCUUUUUCCAAAACUUAUCAUUAUGCGAACAAGAUGAUGAUAAGUUUUGUGGAAAAAGAAUUAUUAAGAACAGAAGCAGAACAAAGAAAGGGGAUUUUAGGGUUCUGCUGCUUGAUGAUUAGAUUGGGAAUUAGAAUUCCAUGACAACUAUUAAGUUCAUGCUUUUGUAGAGUAUAGCAUGAGCUAUUAGAUCCUCUACCGACUACAGCUAGAGUGAUAUGGUGGCUUGGUGGUUUAGAGGAGAGACAUAUGAGUUAGAGUGAUAAGAGGUCAUGGAUUUUAGUCUCCCACCAACAAAAUUACAGCUAACAACUAACAUUUGUCAUUCAAAAAAAUAAAAAUCUUCUAUCACCGGUUGCAGAGCCGUUGAAUUAAAUUGUAAUGAGUUUUGAAAUUCAGAUUUAACGGCUCUGCAGUCCGAUGGAGCUCCAGAGGAUCUAUCUUGGUUACAUUCUUACAGGUGAGGUUUUAUCCACAUGAGUCUCAUUGUGAAUUUUUACUUUUCUGAUUAAAACAUUAUUUAAGUUAAAUAUUUCUGUUAAAAAAAACUUAAAUACAAUUUACACAUAGUUAUUUUGCAAUCUAGUUAUGGCAUGGCUUCAUCAUGAACAGAUUUAUCUUCUUUUGGUGUCUGCAUUUGUUGGCUGCUGUAUUUUGUAGCUUAAUUAAGCUUUUGUUGGUUGUUUGUCAAGAGCAACCUCUAAAACAGCAACAUGGAAAAGUGAGACCAAUUGCUGCUCAUGGCUUGAUGUCAGCUACAACACCAUAUUUGGUCAAUUAUUACUAAACUUUGAAUCCAAUGUCAAUUACAAUUUUUCUAUCCUAUCAACAUUGAAAUUGUCUUCUGUUGGUGUGAUGGAAUUUCCAAAAUUAUUAAGAAAAUUUCCCAGUUUGAGAUAUUUUGAUAUUACAAUAAAAAACUUAAUGGAAGAAUCCCCAAUUGGUUACUUGAAAUAGAUUAUUACAAUUUUUUGGCUUCUUUCGAAACUUGUUCAUGUCAAUAGACCAAUUCUCAAGGAAUCAUUCUGUCAGUUUGCAAUACAAGUUCACUUGAAAUGUUCAACUUGGCACACAAAAUUGGAAGGUAUCAUUCCACAAUGUCUAGCAAAUUUAUCAUCCCUUCAAGUUUUGGAUCUAUAAAUGAACAAGUUUUACGGCACUUUCCCAACAACAAAAUAGAAGACCACUUUCCUAACUAGCUUCAAACUCUGCAAAAUUUGAAAGUAUUUGCUUUGAAAUGAAAUAUGGACCUGAAGAACAUUCUCCACCUUCAUCCAACUUUUGUAGUGAAGAGAAAUUUGGAUUUGGAUGAAAACUGGUGGCUAUUGGAUAUGGAUGUGGAGUGUUGUUUGGACGAAAGUUAAGCAGUGUUGUGUUUUGCUUGGCUUAGAUCAAAUUAUCAAUCAGGGCAACUUCUGCUACAACUCAUGUGUCAUUCUGCUGGGUGACUGGCUAUCUGUUAUUCAAUUGAGAUCCUGGGAUUGUGAGCAUUGCAAGGAAAACUAAGAAUAAACUAAAAUAACACUAACUACUUUUCUUGUGGUUCUUGAAAUCACUUUUAAAUUUAUUGUCUAUAUUGUAGCUAAAUACAUAGAAUUUAUGCAUAAA